rnacentral:lncRNA from 1 species
UGGUUUUAUUGCAUUUUUAACUUUCUUUUAUUUAUCUCUAGCUGCUGCUUCUUCUGUUACAAGCUCGAAGUCAUGGGAAGAUUUCCGAAAGUAUCGCUCCCAGCAUCCAGGCCCUCUAUCUAUGAGGGCCUUCCAUCGCUGGUGUUUGUAUGGGGACGACCAUCCCUCCUUUAGAUGGAGGGAUGGCACCCCAUACAACACGGGGAAUAGAGCGGAUGCUGGGAGGAGAA